AUUGAACGCUGGCGGCAGGCUUAACACAUGCAAGUCGAGCGGGGUGAUGGUGCUUGCACUAUCACUUAGCGGCGGACGGGUGAGUAAUGCUUAGGAAUCUGCCUAUUAGUGGGGGACAACAUUUCGAAAGGAAUGCUAAUACCGCAUACGUCCUACGGGAGAAAGCAGGGGAUCUUCGGACCUUGCGCUAAUAGAUGAGCCUAAGUCGGAUUAGCUAGUUGGUGGGGUAAAGGCCUACCAAGGCGACGAUCUGUAGCGGGUCUGAGAGGAUGGUCCGCGACACUGGGACUGAGACACGGCCCAGACUCCUACGGGAGGCAGCAGUGGGGAAUAUUGGACAAUGGGCGGAAGCCUGAUCCAGCCAUGCCGCGUGUGUGAAGAAUGCCUUAUGGUUGUAAAGCACUUUAAGCGAGGAGGAGGCUACUUUAGUUAAUACCUAGAGAUAGUGGACGUUACUCGCAGAAUAAGCACCGGCUAACUCUGUGCCAGCCGCCGCGGUAAUAC
rnacentral:rRNA from 1 species